ACUGGGGGGGAGAGGGCCUUCUGCCUGGAUUAUGAGAGGACACAGGCCAGGCAGAGGGACCCCACCUGUGCAUG
rnacentral:pre_miRNA from 1 species